UUGGAGCCGCAGGGCUUAAUCCCGCGCGGCUCAGAGAUGGGUUUCUGGACUCGCGAAGCAGCUGCAACAAGGCAUCACUCACUGUAUAAGUAUUUCCAUUUCUGAGAGCAAAAGGAAGAACUUAAGCGGGCGGCACUUGGAGUGUAAAUUGCUUUGUAGUAUUUAAAGGCAGAAUGGAUCCUGGGCAGCCGAGCUGCAACAAACCGGCAGGACUUCCUGUGAAAUCAUGACCACCAUGUGCUCUUUCAGCCUCUAUCAGUUCCUACCUCUAAGCACCUGAGAGCCAAAGCAAACCACAGGAAACCACAGACUCAAACUAAACGUCAGCUUUUCCCGGCUCUCAAGCCUGCUGGUCCCUGAACUAAAACUCACAUUAUCAACUCUACUGGUUCUUAGGCCUUUGGAGUCAGACUGGAACUACAGCAUUGACUCUUCCGGAACUCCAGCUUACUGACUACAGAUCUUGGAACUUUUCAGCUUCCACAACCAUAAUGAAAGCCAAGCAUAUUCCAUCAUUUCCUAAAACCAAGAUAGAGCACAUAUGGGAACUUGUGAAAUAAGGAUGCCCUGCGGUUGUUUUCAGGACUGAAGACAACAGCUCCACGAUGAAACCAAAGCACAAAGAGAGAAAGAAAAGAAAGAGAAAAAAGGAAGAAAGAAAAGAAAGAUGAAAGAAAGAAAGAGAAAGAAGAGAGAGGGAGAGAGAGAAAGAAAGAGAAGGAAAGAAAGAAGGAAGAAGAAAGAAAGAAAGAAAGAAAGAAAGAAAGAAAGAAAGAAAGAAAGAAAGAAAGAAAGAAAGAAAGAAAGAAAAAAGGAAGGAAGGAAAAGAAACACAUGGAAAGUGACAGGCUCCCUUUGUAUAUCACCUUGCAUGGUAAAGUGCAGAGAGCUCCAUCAGAGAAAUGCAGUUAAAAUCCAGUAGAUACCACCGUACACCUGAAAGACUUGUGAACAAACAGAUGACAGAAAAACAAAACAAAGCAAAACAGAACCUGAGAAUUUGAAUUGCUGCUUCUUUGGACCUUUUAAGUUGCAUUAUCCCAUAAAAUGUGGUGGAUUCAAUGUUGUAUGGCCUGUAAAACUAAGUAAUGAAGGCUGAUAUGUACCCACCUGGCUCUGUCUUGGGAUCACACAACUUGGGAGCCAAAACAGAUUGCAAAUGAUGUUCAAAUCAAGGACUGGCUUAAGGGAGAAAAUCAAUUAUACUGUACAA
rnacentral:lncRNA from 1 species